UUUUUUUUUUGAAAGGCAGUAUAUAGGUAGGUUGACAUUGUCAUCAAUCAAGUAGAACUCACAUCUGUCUUUGACUUGGAAACGGUACACUUAACGAGGAGUAAUUUGCGAAAAGCAUCAAAUUCUAGGGUUUCCUCUGUAAUCCUCCCCCCAUAUAUCCAACUCCUUCGCGAUUACAAACUUCCCAAACUCGAGCGGUUUUUUAUAUUUCUGUGGUGAUUGGUCUUGAGCACAAUGGUGGUGAAAGGAAAAAAUAGAUUCUAAAAAUGCGGUUUGCUGACUUGUUGAGUUUUUGUGGGAAAAAGUUGAUGAGAUGGAGCAAACUACGUAGAAUCAGUCAUCCUGGGAUCUAUUCUUCAUUCACAGUUGGUAUUGGAAGAGCUGUCGAGGGGUUUCCAACUCGCUCAACCUUUUCUACUCUAGAAGCAUUCAGCAGUGUCAUUGAUAAGGAUGUUGGGAAAGCUAAUUUGGCGAAGGACUUAGCAUUUCUAGUUGACGAAUCUUCUAAUCUUAAUGAGACAAAACCCAAAACCCGUGUCGAGCUUAAGAGGUUACUUGAACUCCGUAUAAAGAAGAGGGUGAAGGAGCAAUAUAUUGAUGGGAAGUUUCAAGACCUCAUGCACAAGGUGGUUGCCAAUCCAGAAACUCUUCGGGAUGCUUAUGAUUCUAUUAGAGUGAACUCAAAUGUUGACUUAGCUUUGGGGGGUGACUGCAUCCCUUUUGAAGCCUUGGCAGAGGAGCUCUUGUGUGGCUGUUUCAAUGUUAAUGCCAAUGCUUUCUCUAUCUCGACAAAGGGUGCACAGAAAGAAGUACUUGUCCUUCCUAAUGUUAAGCUGAAAGUUGUUCAAGAAGCCAUUAGGAUAGUUUUGGAAGUUGUUUACAGGCCCCACUUUUCUAAAAUCUCGCAUGGUUGCCGAAGCGGAAGGGGGCAUCUCUCGGCCUUGAAGUACAUAAGCAAAGAAAUCUCUAAUCCGGACUGGUGGUUUACAUUGCUUAUCAGCAAAAAACUUGAUACUUAUGUCCUAGAUAAACUUGUUUCCACAAUGGAGGUUAAGAUAGAAGAUCCAAGCUUAUUUGCUAUCAUCAAGAGCAUGUUUGAUGCCCAAGUACUCAAUCUUGAGUUUGGAGGUUUCCCAAAAGGCCAUGGUCUUCCACAAGAAGGGGUUUUGUCGCCAAUUUUAAUGAACUUAUAUCUCGAUCUGUUUGAUCGUGAAUUUUAUAGAAUCUCAAUGAAAUUUGAAACUUUAGACAUGGGGUUUGAUAACGAACAAGAUGGUUCCCACUCCAAGUUGCGCAACUGGUUUAGAAGACAGAUGAAAGACAAUAUCAUUGAACACAAUGGUGUGGAGACAUCUAGGAUCAAGGUACAUUGUUGUCGCUUUAUGGAUGAGAUGUUUUUUGCCGUUUCUGGGUCCGAAGAUGUAGCUCUUGCUUUCAAGUCCGAGAUGCAGACUUACUUGGAGGGUUCUCUCCUCUUGAGUGUUGACAAGCAGACAGAAAUAUUACCGUGUAUUGAUCCCCAUGGGAUACAAUUUCUUGGCACUUUAGUUACAAGAAGUGUUAAAGAAUGUCCUGCAGUAAGAGCCGUUCACAAGCUAAAGGAAAAGGUACAAUUGUUUGCUUCACAGAAACGAGAGUCUUGGGAUGCUGGGACACUCAGAAUAGGGAAGAAAUGGCUAGCUCACGGGUUGAAAAAGGUUAAGGAAUCCGAGAUCAAGCAUUUAGCUGAUAAUGAAUCUCUUUUGAGUCAGAUUUCCACAUUUCGGAAAGCUGGAAUGGAAACGGAUCACUGGUACAAACUCUUGUUGAAGGUAUGGAUGCAAGACACCAAUGCCAAAUUCAUUGAUAGUGAGGAAUUCAUCUUAUCAAAGUGUAUUGCUGAACCAUCGCUGCCCCAAGAACUAAGAGAUUCCUUUUAUGAAUUUCAAAAGUGUGCAGAAGAGUAUAUUUCUUCUGAGACAGCUUCACUUAUUGCCCUUUUGCCUGAUUCUAGCUCUUCGACUGAAUCUGUCACAAUGACCGAGAUUAUUGCUCCAGUAAACAGUAUAAAGAAACGCCUCUUAAGAUAUGGGUUGACAAAUUCCAAAGGAUUUUCAUGUACAUCACGCAUGCUUAUUUUACAAGAUAGCAACCAAAUAGUGGACUGGUUCCAAGGGCUAGUUUUGCGAUGGUUUAGGUGGUAUGGUGAGUGCCAAAACUUCAAUGACAUAAAACUUAUUAUCUGUGAUGAGGUUAGGAAGUCUUGUAUCAGAACACUGGCAGCAAAGUACCGAAUACAUGAAACUGAGAUAGAGAUGAAAUUUGAUUCAGAAUUGAGCAGAAUCCCAUCAACCCCAGAGUUAGAACAUGAGCUGGCAAAUGAGAAAUCAGAUUCACAAGCAACUGAAUGCAUGUAUGGAAUUUCUUACAGUGGCUUGUGUUUGCUGUCCUUGGCAAGAAUAGUGAGCCAAUCAAGGCCUUGCAAUUGUUUUGUUAUGGGGUGCAUGGCUGUGGCACCAUGCGUUUAUACAAUUCACGUGAUGGAGAGACAGAAGUAUCCUGGUUGGAAGACUGGGUUUCCAAGUUGUAUCCAUCCGAGCUUGAACAGAAGGCGAAUUGGCUUGUGUAAGCAACAUUUGAAAGAUAUGUAUCUCGGUAGUAUAUCACUCCAAUCUAUUGAUUUUGGUGCUUGGAAAUGAAACUUAUGCGAUAAAGAUGGUCUUGAAGCUGCACAAUGCAUUGCCUAUUGAUGCUUCAAGUAUACUAAUUUACAAGUAUCAUUUCGGGAUGAUUGAUGAUUGAUGAAUCUGGUUAAUCUUCUUGUUGAAAGAAGAGACUCCUGCUACAUUUGUAAGCAUCCUGGCUUUGUUACUCAGGGCAGCCUUCGGGAGUAAUGCGAUUCUUGACUUGGUUUUGGUGCGAAGAGCUGAAGAAAAGAAUUUCAUAUUCACCAAAUGACAUUGCAGAACACGCACUUCGGAAAGUUCUUCCAGUGAAAUGCUAUACGGCAAUCUCGUAGAGCAUAUUACAAGAUUCUGUUGCCUCCAAUAUUAGUGAGAAUGGUUCGCUUGUUGCAGAUGAAACUAUUGGCUACACGCACAAACAAGAAAAUAAGGAAAGGUGGGGAACUGUUGAUAAAUUGGAAGUAAAUAAUGCUCUUUGAGAUAAUUUGGGCAGAGAUGCAGGGCCUUUCGACUGCAGAACAGGGGGUAUGUUUUAGUUAUGAUUUUUAGCGAACACCUAGCAGAGAGUAUGUCUUCCUAUAUAUCUAUGAGGAGAAAUUUCUCAAAGUUUGUCAAGGCUUCAUCAAUGUGAUAUUAGGUGCAAUCAAAUUGUCAUUCAUUUCGAAGAUUAACAUGGGAAUGGGUCAUGAUACCAACUAGGGUAUGAAAUGGAAAUGAUUAAGGCUUUGUUUGGUUGUGAGUUUAGUUUAGUUUAGUUUUGGUAGUGGGUGGAGAGAGAAAUAAGGUAAUGAUUGAAGAGAGAAGUAAUGAUUGGAGAGAGAUAGAGAGAGAUGAGAAAGUAAUAAUUGGAGAAAUAUGGUAAUGAUCGGAGAAAGAAAUAGGGUAAUGAUUAAAAUCUAAACUAAAACUAAAAAUGAAAUAGCAACCGAACACUACCUAAAUUUUCCAUAGUCUGUUUUGAAGUGAACAUUGUUGAUUGCCCAAUUUUUAAGGAACAAUUAUCUUCGCAUUGCUUUGAUGCUAAACUUAAUUCUAUACAGGCCCAAUUUAUCUGUGAAGAAGUUACUUCCUCGUGAACACUUUGUUGAAGUUUGUCCCACAUUGGUUAAUUAUCUCCUCCAAACACUAGUAUAUGAGCAUGGGCGGUCUCUCCACUCAUUGCCAAAUUGGUUUUGAAUUGGAUGCUUUAACAUGGUAUCAAAGCUAGGGUUCGGAGAAUUUGUUCCCCAUUGUUUGUGCCAUUAGUGCAUCGUUGUUGGUUGUGAUCCAUGUGUUACGGAUCAUUUGUUUAACCCUCUACGUGCGAGUCGGGGGUCGCGCCUGCGGGGGAGUGUUGGAGUUUGUCCCACAUUGGUUAAUUAUCUCCACCAAACACUAAUAUAUGAGCCUAGGUGGCCUCCCUACUCAUUGCCAAAUUGGUUUUUGAGUUGGAUGCUUUAACAUACUUCAUGCAAAAAUGAUAGCUCAGUUUGUUCCCAAUCGCUCCCAUGGCAGUUGCUCCCUCUGUAACUGGCAUUUCUCUUUUGAAUGCAACAUAAAACCCAUUCACCUGUAUCUGAAUUCCUAAAUAAACAAAAACAUCGGAUAAACGUACUUACAAUUGUUUAUGAACUGGUAAGUGAAAUUGAAAAUUCCUCUCCUUGUGCAACAUGUAUCGUUGAAACCACAGCUGCACAAGUGAUAUUACUGAAUUUCCAAAUUAGUCUCGACUCCAACUGGAGCUUCACCAACGUAGAACUCCAGAUAAUUUUACUUAUGGAUCUUCCAUUUACUAACAGAUUCAUGUAAAUCACAAGAGUUUAAUGGAGAGAGAGAGAGAGAGAGAGAGAGAGAGAGAGAGAGAUUCUGUCAUGGAGUUCCAAUGCAUCAAAUGGAUAGAGGUCGUGAUUAGGAAUGAUGUUUGGAUUGGAAGGUAAGCAUGAGUGUGUGACGCCUUAUGAUAGGAUUGUUGGGUCGAAUCCAAACCUGGAGGGAGGUUCCAUCUCCCAUGUUCUCCAUAUGAAGGAAGAAACCAGAGAAACAAAAGGUAAGGUUUAAGUGAAAAUUGUUAUGGUAGGGUUUAGUUUCCAAAUUUAGCAAGCAUGAUGAGUUAUGAUCAAGUGUUGGGCUAUGUUGCUAUUUAUACUUAUUGAGGGAUGAUUGUAGUUUGAGGAUGAGGCUCCGACAGGGAAGUUGACGAGUUUUGUACUUGGACCUACCAUAGAAAAAAGAAAGUCCUUUCUUUAAUCUUUCGCUAUUCAACGUGCCUGCUUAUUAGCAUCAUGCAUAUCUGUUCUUGUUUUACAUCUUGUAUACAAGUUAAUGGCUUGUUUUGGGUCAACAUUCUUCUACUUAGGGACAAGGAUAGCAUUCAAGAAAGAUGACUCUCCGAAAGACAUCACGUUCAAAUACAAGUUUGGGCUCUCUCCCUCAGUUGUGAUUAAACAUAAAGAAACUGGGGGAAAUGACGGCUUUGUCUGGGGAGGUAACUGUUUAGCAUAUAUUGUGGGAGAGUUGGAAAGAGAAGUUACGGACCUAUGAAUCUCCUUGCUAAUGAAAGUUCCAUCUGUCAUUCGCAAUGGAUCUUGGAGAUGGUCUAAAUUAAUCAUGCUUAUUAUGGCUCAUACUCAUUGUCCUUUCCAAACGUAAAUCUACUGAAGGGAAUAGAGUUUGGAUUCCUGCCGCAAAUUGAGUCUUUUUCCUGUCAAAACUGCAUGGAUUGUUCUUUGGGGUAGUACUAGUAGAGAGAAGGUCCCUUGAUAGGGUUCUUCUAUUUGCAAGUUGUCGCUUGCAUAAAUAGUCUACCAUGGAUAGAAGCGAAUGCUAGGAGUCUUUAAUGCAAGGCCUCUUGUCUGUUUGUAUUAUGACCAUUGAUAAGGAUUUGAGGGAAAAGAUUAGCCCACAAACGUGUAGUGGACAAAGCUCAUUCAAAUUGGUUUUUGUGCUUAGAUAGGGUCUAGUUCUUGGCCUUUAGUUCUUGUGUGUAGCUCUUUUGUUUUUGAACGUAAUGUUGAUACCACAUGGUUGGUUAGUGGGAGACAAAAGGUGUUUUCUAUAAUUCAUUUCCGCUUUUUAUUGGCUUGUGACAUCAUAGAAGAUGGUUAGGAGAGAAACCAUAAGCGAAAGCAUUUUCCUUGACAAUUGCAUGGCCUCUUCCCUUCCAUUACCAAGUUGAUGAAAACAGCACCUUAAUGUAGAUUCUUACAUCAUUCUCUUCUUAAUUUCUCUCUUUCACUUCUACUCUCCUCCCCAUAAACCCCUUCACUAAUCCACAAAUUCAUAGUCAAAACCUAGCAAAUUUUGAACAUUUUCUACACUAUAUUGCUGGUAAGAGCAUCUCCAACUGCCUUAUUUUUUCUUCCUUUUUGCCGCUUAGUCGAGCCAGACCCUAAAAACACUCACCCAACUGACUAGCCUCCCACCUCGGCAAAACCCCCUUUGCUAUAGUAACUCACCACAACAAAUGAGUUAGGACCCCUUGCCCCUCUCUCUCUCUCUCUCUCUCUCUCAGCGUUGGCUCCGGUGUUGUUGGCUCCAACGUCGUUGAUACUGUGCACGGUUUUGUUGGCGUAGGUUUGAUUCGUGCUUAAUUUUUGUGAGUUUGGUUCCAAUUUGACAAUUUCUGGAUCAUUUGUGGGUUUGAUCGUUGGAUAUUGCAAUCAGUAAUGGAUUUUGUUUGGGUUUGCUUCUAUCAAGUAGGUGCCAAAAUCUAUGUAGCACCGACACUCCAAAAGGGCGCUGUGUCCACGUAUUGGACACGGGGACACGCCCAAAUACGUAUUGGACACGCCACGUGGCGUGUCCAAUAAUUUUUAUUAUUUUUUGAUAGGGAACACGGCUGGGGGCACACCGGGGACACAACUGGGGGUCAAAAUGUAAUAUAUAUAUUUAAUUUUGAGGGGUUAGUAUGAAAUGAUUCAAAAAUAUUUGGGUUAAACUGUAAUUAUGCCUUUAUUUGGACCAUGGUAAUCUUAUACAUUCAUAUAGGACAUGUCUUCAUUAAUAGACAUGGAAGAAAAGAAAAAAUAUAUGUAUUUAUACAGAGGGCUUCAGCUACGGACGCUCUUAGAAUGCCAAAAUGCGGACUUUGCUUCCUAGCCGUUGGAUCUUAUCCAACGGCUUAGAUAAAGGGGAGAGAUGCGCGGGUAAGAAGGGAUCAUGGGUUGGGUAAAAAACGUUCGCGGGUCAUCCGGGUCUUCUCAGUCGGAUCCUAACAAAAUCCCAGUCCCCUCACUUUCACCCGUUCAGCGUAGACGAAGAGAGAGAGAGAAGAAGAGAAGAGACGACGCCAAUGAAGACGAUGACCAGAUCGAAGUAUCUCACUCGAACCAGAAGAAGAGGAACAACAAGGCUUAGUGAGCUUAUGCAGGUCUGGCUAUGGGAAUUUCAGAGGCUCGGUUAAGAGUAAUGUUCGAAGUGAAGUGCUUCAAGGAAAAGAUCAGCUAAGUUGCUUUGUUUUGAAUAUAAUAAACCUGGUAGGGAAGAUGAUCAUGCUAACUGGGUUUCUUUUGUGACUGAUGGUGCUUGGCAUGUGGGCACACAGAUGAGAGCGGCUGCUUGGUUGUUGGAUGUUGUAAAUCAAGCUGUUAUGUGCUUUGCUUCCUCUGCAACUGCUGUUGAAAUUAGAGUAGGUUACUGGUGUUAGAGUGGGCCAUUAAGGAGAAGCUGGAGACAAUAUGCAUGCAUCAAAACGAGUUGCUCGCUCUUUGUGCACGGUUUAAUUGAUCAUAGUAGUGCUCCUUUUUGUGUUAAGCAGCUUUUUCUGAUUUUUGUUCUUUAUGUUCCAGGUUUAGUUUUGUAAAAGUUGUUAAAGUUCCAAGACACUGGUUAAGUCUGCUCAUAAUCUAGCAAGGGCGGCCUUACCACGUAUGUUGUAAUGUUGGUUGUGUGGCUUGUUUAUAUAUGCAUUGAAAUUUGGUCGAAAAAAUUGGUUGACUAAUAGAACAGGUUACCCAUCAUAAACUUUGUUUCUUUGGCACAAUUACUAGUAAUAUGAGAAAAACAGUUCCUUUGUAUUUCAAAAUCA